GCGGCCUUUUUGUCAGUGGUGAAAUCCUGCCGCUUAACCGGGGAAUUGCUUUUGAUACUGAAAGGCUUGAGUUCCGUUGAGGUUGGUGGAAUGUGUAGUGUAGCGGUGAAAUGCUUAGAUAUUACACAAGAACACCAAUUGCGAAGGCAGCUUACUAAACUGACACUGACGCUGAUGCACGAAAGCGUGGGGAGCGAACAGGAUUAGAUACCCUGGUAGUCCACGCCGUAAACGAUGUUCACUCGCUGUUUGCGAUACACAGCAAGCGGCCAAGCGAAAGCAUUAAGUGAACCACCUGGGGAGUACGAUCGCAAGGUUGAAACUCAAAGGAAUUGACGGGGGCCCGCACAAGCGGAGGAACAUGUGGUUUAAUUCGAUGAUACGCGAGGAACCUUACCUGGGCUUAAAUGUUGAGUGACAUGCUGUGAAAGCAGUCCUUCUUCGGACACUCUACAAGGUGCUGCAUGGUUGUCGUCAGCUCGUGCCGUGAGGUGUCGGGUUAAGUCCCAUAACGUCCCGCAACC
rnacentral:rRNA from 1 species